rnacentral:rRNA from 1 species
AUUGAACGCUGGCGGCAGGCCUAACACAUGCAAGUCGAGCGGAUGAAGGGAGCUUGCUCCUGGAUUCAGUGGCGGACGGGUGAGUAAUGCCUAGGAAUCUGCCUGGUAGCGGGGGAUAACGUCCGGAAACGGGCGCUAAUACCGCAUACGUCCUGAGGGAGAAAGUGGGGGAUCUUCGGACCUCACGCUAUCAGAUGAGCCUAGGUCGGAUUAGCUAGUUGGUGGGGUAAAGGCCUACCAAGGCGACGAUCCGUAACUGGUCUGAGAGGAUGAUCAGUCACACUGGAACUGAGACACGGUCCAGACUCCUACGGGAGGCAGCAGUGGGGAAUAUUGGACAAUGGGCGAAAGCCUGAUCCAGCCAUGCCGCGUGUGUGAAGAAGGUCUUCGGAUUGUAAAGCACUUUAAGUUGGGAGGAAGGGCAGUAAGUUAAUACCUUGCUGUUUUGACGUUACCAACAGAAUAAGCACCGGCUAACUUCGUG